rnacentral:rRNA from 1 species
UACGUAGGGGGCAAGCGUUGUCCGGAUUUAUUGGGCGUAAAGAGCGUGUAGGCGGUUUUGUAGGUCCGCUGUGAAAACUCGAGGCUCAACCUCGAGACGCCGGUGGAAACCAUCAGACUAGAGUCCGGAAGAGGAGAGUGGAAUUCCUGGUGUAGCAGUGAAAUGCGCAGAUAUCAGGAAGAACACCCGUGGCUAAGGCGGCUCUCUAGUACGGUACUGACGCUGAGACGCGAAAGCGUGGGGAGCAAACAGG